GCCGGCGUGGCGGAAUUGGCAGACGCACGGGACUUAAAAUCCCGGGGCCUUCGGCCGUGUGGGUUCGAGUCCCACCGUCGGUACCA
rnacentral:tRNA from 1 species